UACGGAGGGUGCGAGCGUUAAUCGGAAUUACUGGGCGUAAAGCGCACGUAGGCGGUCAUGUAAGUGGGAUGUGAAACCCCCGGGCUUAACCUGGGACUUGCAUACCAGACUGCAUGGCUAGAGUAUGAGAGAGGGUGGUGGAAUUUCCGGUGUAGCGGUGAAAUGCGUAGAGAUCGGAAGGAACAUCAGUGGCGAAGGCGGCCACCUGGCUUAAUACUGACGCUGAGGUGCGAAAGCGUGGGGAUCAAACAGG
rnacentral:rRNA from 1 species